rnacentral:rRNA from 1 species
CCUACGGGAGGCAGCAGUGGGGGAUAUUGCACAAUGGGGGAAACCCUGAUGCAGCGACGCCGCGUGGGUGAAGAAGCGCCUCGGCGCGUAAAGCCCUGUCAGCAGUGAAGAAAGUGACGGUACCUGAAGAAGAAGCCCCGGCUAACUACGUGCCAGCAGCCGCGGUAAUACGUAGGGGGCAAGCGUUAUCCGGAUUUACUGGGGGUAAAGGGGGCGCAGACGGCGAUGCAAGCCAGGAGUGAAAGCCCGGGGCCCAACCCCGGGACUGCUCUUGGAACUGCGUGGCUAGAGUGCAGGAGGGGCAGGUGGAAUUCCUGGUGUAGCGGUGAAAUGCGUAGAUAUCAGGAGGAACACCGGUGGCGAAGGCGGCCUGCUGGACUGCAACUGACGUUGAGGCCCGAAAGCGUGGGGAGCAAACAGGAUUAGAUACCCUAGUAGUC